rnacentral:pre_miRNA from 1 species
GACAUACUCCCUCUGAUCCUAAAUUGUUGUCGAAAUAUUACAUGUAUCUAGACGCUUUUUAAGAAUAGAUACAUUCAUAUUUGGGCAAAUUUGAGUCAAAAAUUUAGGAUCAGAGGGAGUAAUAU